rnacentral:rRNA from 1 species
UACGAGGGGUCCUAGCGUUGUUCGGAAUCAUUGGGCGUAAAGAGUCUGUAGGCGGCCAAAUAAGUCAGGUGUGAAAUCCCCGGGCUCAACCCGGGAAGUGCAUUUGAUACUGUUUGGCUUGAGUAUGGAAGAGGGUAGUGGAAUUCCUGGUGUAGUGGUGAAAUACGUAGAUAUCAGGAGGAACACCGGUGGCGAAGGCGGCUACCUGGUCCUAUACUGACGCUGAGAGACGAAAGCGUGGGGAGCAAACAGG